rnacentral:lncRNA from 1 species
GUGCCACUUCUCUGGUGUCCUGUGCCCAGAUGUUGCUGGGGGUCUCAGUCCUCUGAGAUUUGGGGGAAAGCUGCAGUGGGGCAGGGGCAGGUGGGUGGCAUCUCUCUCUGGACCUCACCUGGGUCCAACUUUCCUGCCUCUCCCCACAGAGCUUUCCUCUUCCUUGAAUUCCCCAUAGGACAGUAAUUACAACAGUAAUUAGGAAGACAAUUAACUGCUGAAUGGGAAGAACUUAAUCUGCUUCUCUCUGCCUCUGCUGGUUUCACCCCACGCACACCCACGUGCACCAGGUGUUGCUGGGUGCUGGGGAGUGUGCACUGCCCCAGGUAUCUCCUGUUGGUGUCUGCGCCAGGGCUGCAAGGAGCUGCAAGCAGUCCCCCCGGCUUUAGGGCUGUGGCCGAGAUGUCGCCGAGGAAGCCGGGCCCGCUGGGUGCGGCUCGUUACCCGCACGGCAGGAAUUAGCAGUGCUCCGGCGCCAGCCCCGUAUCCUCCGCCCUGCCGACGCACCUUAAAUCCCAGCCCACCACACCCGGGGCGCAGAGCGGACAGCCGUGGGCACCAUGGAGCAGCAAGCCUGUCUCCUCCUCCUCCUCCUCUUGCUCCCCAUUUCUGCACGGUCAGUCCCGGCCCCACACGUGCCUGGAAGAGAGGAGCAGAUGGGGACAGCAAAGCCCGGGUAUUGUCACCACAUCUCGGAGGCGGAGAACCCUCUGGACCAGGACUGCAGCUCGUGCCACAAGAACACCUCGUGCUCCCACUGUGCUGGCGACUCCGACUGUCCUGGUGCCACCAAGUGCUGCCCCGGCAAGUGCGGCCACACGUGCCAGGAGCCGGUGCUCGGUGAGGGCCAGCGGUGUGCAGUGUGUGGGGGGUCUCGGUGAGGGGGGGUGAGCUUGGCACAGUGGGAGGGGGCUCACGGAUGCCAUCCCUGAGCUCCGCCUGCUCGAGGGAUGAGGGAUAUGGUUUCCUGGGGAGGUGGGUGCAGACCUGGCUCUGG